UGGCACGAAACACGCCUUUGAUCCCCCUCGGGCGGGGGCCAAGCCAACCAGGGCCGCGUCUGCAAGAGGCAGCUCUAUCACGCCGGAGUCCCGGCAAGCGGAGGCCUCAUCCGCCGGCGCCAGCUCAACCGCCCAAGCGAAGGGGUGGAAGAAAAAACAACUUCGUAAGGUCAGGGAGACCCAGUCGUGCUAAGAGGUGGUGGUGGAGCCAUCGGGGUGGAGCUUCGACCCCUCAGGAGGUGUCUGAAGAAAGGCUUAUCACUAUUGGAGCAAAUCAACACUCACACAAGCAAGCAAACCAAGGUUGCGGUGUGUAAAAUAUGUUGACAUAUAGCAACAGCGACAAUUCCCAAUUCAGUUACCAUCAAUAAAUAAAUUUAACUUGCUUUUAACAAUGGAUCCAGAGGCGCCGGAAUGUCCUUGAUGAUGCGGUCAAGAUGGAUUAAAAUUUCAAAGGGCCAUGGAUCCUGCGUGCUCUAGCUCCUUGAAAAGAAAGUGGCACAUAACCAAUUAUUGAUCUGAUGUAAAACAACUGAUAACCAUGGAAACCUGUAAACCAUUUGAGGAAAAUCGUUUGGAGUGCAUGUGAUCGAAGUUUAUUUGGGUUUUACUGUCGAACUGUUAUAUGUAUUUCGAGUGAAAUGCUUCAUUUUUCAUAUUCUCUGGGUGAUUGUGCCCUACUAUUUUCAGGAUGUGGUCAGUGCCACUGUGGAUGUUAGUAUGUAUUAUUGUAACACAUAAUUGGAUUUAUGGCAUAUGAAAG